CAAAGUAUAGUUAAUCAGUUUAAUAUCUCACUUACGUUGAGAAGAAUUAUCGUGCAAAUCGGUUUGCUUUGA
rnacentral:tRNA from 2 species